CACUAGGGCCUGAACCCAGAUCGGCCCGGGGUCCUUUGUGUGCAGGCACGCCCCCCUGGGUCUCACUGUGGCCAGGCCACAGCA
ensembl:miRNA